rnacentral:rRNA from 1 species
GAUGAACGCUGGCGGCGUGCCUAACACAUGCAAGUCGAGCGAUGAAGUUCUCUUCGGAGAACGGAUUAGCGGCGGACGGGUGAGUAACACGUGGGUAACCUGCCUUGUAGUGGGGAAUAGCCUUUCGAAAGGAAGAUUAAUACCGCAUAACAUCGUUGAGUGGCAUCACUCGAUGAUCAAAGGAGCAAUUCGCUACAAGAUGGACCCGCGUCGCAUUAGUUAGUUGGUGGGGUAAUGGCCUACCAAGACGACGAUGCGUAGCCGACCUGAGAGGGUGAUCGGCCACAUUGGGACUGAGACACGGCCCAGACUCCUACGGGAGGCAGCAGUGGGGAAUAUUGCACAAUGGAGGAAACUCUGAUGCAGCAACGCCGCGUGAGUGAUGAAGGUCUUCGGAUCGUAAAGCUCUGUCUUUAGGGAAGAUUAUGACGGUACCUAAGGAGGAAGCCACGGCUAACUACG